UACCGAGGUCCCAAGCGUUGUUCGGAUAUACUGGGCGUAAAGCGCACGUAGGCGGCGCCGUAAGUCAGGGGUGAAAUCCCGGAGCUCAACUCCGGAACUGCCCUUGAAACUGCAGUGCUAGAAUCUUGGAGAGGCGAGUGGAAUUCCGAGUGUAGAGGUGAAAUUCGUAGAUAUUCGGAAGAACACCAGUGGCGAAGGCGACUCGCUGGACAAGUAUUGACGCUGAGGUGCGAAAGCGUGGGGAGCAAACAGG
rnacentral:rRNA from 1 species